UACCAAGAAGUUCCGAUGAUGUAUACUCUUACAAUUGAUGAUAAACCUAGAAGUUGCCGAACAUCUUUUAAACGUGAUCUAAACAAAAAAAAUUAUAGCAUUUAUAUUAGACAACAGAUGCUCGAGAAGAGGGACUCAUUUGCAGAGAACGAGCAGUAAGCUGAAUUUUAAAGAUGGUGAAAGACAUAUGUAAGGAGUGUAGAAAUGGAGUCCACGCAUGUGGCAGUGAAACAAAAGAAAACGGACAGACUCGCCCACCCCCACCCUGUCACCACGGACACAACAGAGAGGACACGGUGGCUGCCCCUAACACUGACCAGAAGGUCAACACGUGGGGCUCAUUCAAAACCAAAGACCAUUUCCUUGAACUACAUUUCCGGUGAACCAGUUCAAGACUUACUAAUUUUUUUUGGUUGCCAUGCAACUUCAUCGUAUUUAAUUGAAUGCUUAUGUUUAAAUAGGUAAACAGACUGGAGUUUUUGAUAUUUCAUAAAUUUCAGUACGGGUAUAUGUGUCAUAUUUUGUAUUUGUAACAUUGGUAA